rnacentral:misc_RNA from 1 species
CAAGAGCAAAUUUAUUGAAAGAAAACAAAAGCAUGCAUGCAUUUGACUGCAAUUUUAACUGUCAAAGCUAGAAGUACCCAACAACAACAAAAAUGAAAGCAAAUACAGGAGGGUACCAAAUGGAGACAAGUUUCAUAUUUUAAUAUAAGAACAAUGUAUCAAAUUGAUGCUUAAAAUCCAUGAGAAGGUAUGUGAAAGAAGACAAAAAUUUCAAAAUCUUGAUGGAAUGGGGAAUAUUUGGACGAUGAUCUGUCAGCCAUCUUCUUCCAUCUUGGAUCCCUUAUCUCAGCACAAUCAGACAGUUAUGGAUCAAAAGGAAAAACUUUACAUUAUUGGCAUUAACACAUAUUAAAACUUAAAGAUUUGGAGAUU